AUUGAACGCUGGCGGCAGGCCUAACACAUGCAAGUCGAACGGUAACAGGAAGAAGCUUGCUUCUUUGCUGACGAGUGGCGGACGGGUGAGUAAUGUCUGGGAAACUGCCUGAUGGAGGGGGAUAACUACUGGAAACGGUAGCUAAUACCGCAUAACGUCGCAAGACCAAAGAGGGGGACCUUCGGGCCUCUUGCCAUCGGAUGUGCCCAGAUGGGAUUAGCUAGUAGGUGGGGUAACGGCUCACCUAGGCGACGAUCCCUAGCUGGUCUGAGAGGAUGACCAGCCACACUGGAACUGAGACACGGUCCAGACUCCUACGGGAGGCAGCAGUGGGGAAUAUUGCACAAAGGGCGCAAGCCUGAUGCAGCCAUGCCGCGUGUAUGAAGAAGGCCUUCGGGUUGUAAAGUACUUUCAGCGGGGAGGAAGGAAGUAAAGUUAAUACCUUUGCUCAUUGACGUUACCCGCAGAAGAAGCACCGGCUAACUCCGUG
rnacentral:rRNA from 1 species